CAAUGAUAUGUUGACUUCGUCAACAUGAUAUAUUUGCCAAAGGCAAAUAUGAUAUUUUCGACUUCGUCGAUAGUGAUAUGUUCG
rnacentral:misc_RNA from 1 species